ACAUACACGAGUAUAUAUUAUAUCGUAACGGGCGGCUGUCGGAUUCCGCAAGAAAUAUUACGACAACAAUGUCUCGGGGAAAAACGAGCCCGGAGGAGAGCCGGCCGUAUAUAUGUGGAAUAAUAAUGAACGAACGAAUGAAUGAAAAAAAAAAAAAAAACCGCUAUUUUUUUUUAUUAUUAUUAUUUGAAUUUCGAAACGAGAUUUCCCGCGACGAUUUAUUUUUCCUCGCGUUAUUAUACUCGACGGUCGUGUCCGGGAACUCCGGAAAAACGGACCCCGAGCCCGUCGGACGAGCAUACGCGUAACGCGGGCGUAUUACGCGCACCUGACGCGACGCACGCGAUAGGAUGGAAACCCGACGGGAAAACGUCGCGGCGGCGUACAAACGGCGUGAGCGGAACCGAUUUCGCCGCGCGGACUCC